rnacentral:rRNA from 1 species
AUUGAACGCUGGCGGAAUGCUUUACACAUGCAAGUCGAACGGCAGCACGGGGCAACCUGGUGGCGAGUGGCGAACGGGUGAGUAAUACAUCGGAACGUGCCCAAUCGUGGGGGAUAACGUAGCGAAAGUUACGCUAAUACCGCAUACGAUCUACGGAUGAAAGCGGGGGAUCGCAAGACCUCGCGCGAAUGGAGCGGCCGAUGUCAGAUUAGGUAGUUGGUGGGGUAAAGGCUCACCAAGCCAACGAUCUGUAGCUGGUCUGAGAGGACGACCAGCCACACUGGGACUGAGACACGGCCCAGACUCCUACGGGAGGCAGCAGUGGGGAAUUUUGGACAAUGGGCGCAAGCCUGAUCCAGCCAUUCCGCGUGCAGGAUGAAGGCCUUCGGGUUGUAAACUGCUUUUGUACGGAACGAAACGGUUCUCUCUAAUACAGGGGGCUAAUGACGGUACCGUAAGAAUAAGCACCGGCUAACUACGUGCCAGCAGCCGCCGCCGUAA